GCGUUCGUAGCUCAGUUGGUUAGAGCACCACCUUGACAUGGUGGGGGUCGUUGGUUCGAGUCCGAUCGAACGCACCA
rnacentral:tRNA from 1 species